rnacentral:rRNA from 1 species
UACGUAGGGUGCAAGCGUUAAUCGGAAUUACUGGGCGUAAAGCGUGCGCAGGCGGUUAUGUAAGACAGUUGUGAAAUCCCCGGGCUCAACCCUGGGAACUGCAUCUGUGACUGCAUAGCUAGAGUACGGUAGAGGGGGAUGGAAUUCCGCGUGUAGCAGUGAAAUGCGUAGAUAUGCGGAGGAACACCGAUGGCGAAGGCAAUCCCCCUGGACCUGUACUGACGCUCAUGCACGAAAAGCGUGGGGAGCAAACGAGG